rnacentral:rRNA from 1 species
AGGCUUUGAUCCUGGCUCAGGAUGAACGCUGGCGGCGUGCCUAACACAUGCAAGUCGAGCGGGGUGCCCCGACGGAAGCCUUCGGGCUGAAGUCGGACGCACCUAGCGGCGGACGGGUGAGUAACGCGUGGGCAACCUGCCCUGUACAGGGGGAUAACAUUGGGAAACCAGUGCUAAUACCCCAUAACACUGACCGGUGGCAUCACCGGUUAGUCAAAGUUUUUUCGGUACAGGAUGGGCCCGCGUCUGAUUAGUUAGUUGGUAAGGUAACGGCUUACCAAGACGAUGAUCAGUAGCCGACCUGAGAGGGUGAUCGGCCACACUGGAACUGAGACACGGUCCAGACUCUACGGGAGGCAGCAGUGGGGAAUAUUGCACAAUGGGGGAAACCCUGAUGCAGCAACGCCGCGUGAGCGAUGAAGGCCUUCGGGUCGUAAAGCUCUGUCCUAAGGGAAGAUUCAGACGGUACCUUAGGAGGAAGCCCCGGCUA